UGGGUUGUCGCCAAGCGGUAAGGCACGGGACUUUGACUCCCGCAUCCGUGGGUUCGAAUCCCGCCAACCCAACCA
rnacentral:tRNA from 5 species